CUCUGUGUGAAUCCAUAAAAGGUGCUUAAAGCUUUUCACUCCAUGAAGCCUCAUCUGUCUCAUGAAAGCAAUAAAUAUAAGUGGACAUUUGGGAGGAAAUGUUUGCUUUGCGUGCUCAUACCUGGAUGGCUCAUUUGGAUGGAGAUGGCCCCAGACAUCCAUAAGCUUCUCCAGCACCAGCCUUCCCCCAAACCAGAACAAGAGCAUUGAUCUAUACCCAAGAGGAGCAGGAAUCAGCAGAAACACAAUGGAAGAAACUGAUAUGCCAUCUAGUGGACACAGAGAAAGCCUCAAAUGAAAACCUCAGCCAAAAUGAGGCCACUCAACCAGUGUCCAGUGAAUAAAGUUUCUGACAAAAAUCAGCUAAAUCAAA